AGCUGUUGGCAUGAAGAGGAAGCUGGCCAUGACUGGGUUCACGGACCCGUAUGAGUCUGACUCUAACGUCGAUGACGUGUAUGAGUACUCUGGAGAUGAUGUGGACAACGGGAACAAAGAGUCCUUCAUUGAGAAGGAAGCCCAGAAGAUCAGGGAGAAGGGGAAAGUUCAGGUGCCCAUACUACACCACAAAGCCAAAGCCCAAGGAUGGGCUUUAUGAGUACCUUAUGUCGCAUGAACACGGUUUAUCGACGAGUGCGGACGACAUCAAGAUCAGGGAAAAGCAUGCAGCCCUCCUGAAGGCUCUGGGUCCCAUUUAGUCACCCUCCAUGGUCUAGAUGCUGUGAAGCUGGAUGUGGUACUCAUCAUCGGUAUGUUUGAUGAUGUUUUACUUUUGCGCAAGUGCAUGUGGUUGUGAACUAUUGGAAGGUUGUUCUAGCUGAAGUACGAAAGACUCUAAUUAAUGUAGUA